GACGGAGCAACGCCGCGUGAACGAAGAAGGUCUUCGGAUGUAAAGUUCUGUGAUUCGGGACGAAAGGGUUUGUGGUGAAUAAUCAUAGACAUUGACGGUACCGAAAAAGCAAGCCACGGCUAACUACGUGCCAGCAGCCGCGGUAAUACGUAGGUGGCAAGCGUUGUCCGGAAUUAUUGGGCGUAAAGCGCGCGCAGGCGGUUUCUUAAGUCCAUCUUAAAAGCGUGGGGCUCAACCCCAUGAGGGGAUGGAAACUGGGAAGCUGGAGUAUCGGAGAGGAAAGUGGAAUUCCUAGUGUAGCGGUGAAAUGCGUAGAGAUUAGGAAGAACACCGGUGGCGAAGGCGACUUUCUAGACGAAAACUGACGCUGAGGCGCGAAAGCGUGGGGAGCAAACAGGAUUAGAUACCCUGGUAGUCCACGCCGUAAACGAUGGAUACUAGGUGUAGGAGGUAUCGACCCCUCCUGUGCCGGAGUUAACGCAAUAAGUAUCCCGCCUGGGAAGUACGAUCGCAAGAUUAAACUCAAAGGAAUUGACGGGGGCCCGCACAAGCGGUGGAGUAUGUGGUUUAAUUCGACGCAACGCGAAGAACCUUACCAGCCUGACAUGAUCGCAAUC
rnacentral:rRNA from 1 species